rnacentral:rRNA from 1 species
UCGAUUUGGAGUUUGUUGCCUAGAGUGAUUGGGCUCCGAAGCUAACGCGAUAAAUCGACCGCCUGGGGAGUACGGCCGCAAGGUUAAAACUCAAAUGAAUUGACGGGGGCCCGCACAAGCGGUGGAGCAUGUGGUUUAAUUCGAUGCAACGCGAAGAACCUUACCUGGUCCUGACAUCCACAGAAUCUUGCAGAGAUGCGAGAGUGCCUUCGGGAACUGUGAGACAGGUGCUGCAUGGCUGUCGUCAGCUCGUGUUGUGAAAUGUUGGGUUAAGUCCCGCAACGAGCGCAACCCUUAUCCUUUGUUGCCAUCGGUUAGGCCGGGAACUCAAAGGAGACUGCCGUUGAUAAAGCGGAGGAAGGUGGGGACGACGUCAAGUCAUCAUGGCCCUUACGACCAGGGCUACACACGUGCUACAAUGGCGUAUACAAAGGGAGGCGACCUCGCGAGAGCAAGCGGACCUCAUAAAGUACGUCUAAGUCCGGAUUGGAGUCUGCAACUCGACUCCAUGAAGUCGGAAUCGCUAGUAAUCGUGAAUCAGAAUGUCACGGUGAAUACGUUCCCGGGCCU